UACGUAGGGUGCGAGCGUUAAUCGGAAUUACUGGGCGUAAAGCGUGCGCAGGCGGUUGUGUAAGACAGUUGUGAAAUCCCCCAGGCUCAACCUGGGGAACUGCAUCCGAUACUGGAUGGCUUGAAUUCGGGAGAGGGAUGCAGAAUUCCAGGUGUAGCGGUGAAAUGCGUAGAUAUCUGGAGGAAUACCGGUGGCGAAGGCGGCAUCCUGGACCGACAUUGACGCUGAACGGCGAAAGCUAGGGGAGCAAACGGG
rnacentral:rRNA from 1 species